GUCCUCCCUUAACAAGCAAAGAGGAAAAUCAUCUCUGUUGCGAUGCCAGUGUGACUCGGCAAAGUUGCAUCUAGCGUGCGCGUCUGUCCUGGCUGAGGGGGGCUGAGAGAGGCUUUGCUGCCCUUUUCCCCCUUGAAUACGAGUUUCUCGUGACUUUCCACCACCCUGAACUCACAAUGAUCCGUCAAGGACCUUCUCCUAUUUCCCUCCCAGCACCAUCCUAAUUUCCUCCCUUCAGUGGCUUCUCUCCUCUUCAUGAUCACUUUAUCCCUUCCUGGACCAGAGGAAAUAACGAGAGACAGUGCCUCCUCCGCUGAAAAUCCACAGCCAGGCAUGGACCCCUCCUCACCACCUCCUACUAUGGUACUUAAAGACCUCACCAUGAAAAACUGGAUUGCAUAAAGGACUGCUCCUGGACAGAGACCCCUGGCUUGUUAUAUUUGCACAACUGGACAGUUUUCAUGGCAUAGAUUGGAUGGACUCUGUCAGUGACAGGAGGCAAUGUCCCUCCUGAAGGAGGGGAAGGGAGUCUCUUCACUAGCAAAUACUCCAGCCAUUGGGGAAAAAAAAAAGAUCCUGUGAUUCCAACCAUGGAACUGCUACUCAAAACAACUGCAAGAAAGAGGAAGUAGAGACCACGCGAGGUAUUUCCGUGUAAGACUGUUCCACCUUGAGAAAAGAAGCAAAAUGUGGAAAUGGGUCCUUGGCUGGAGAAUGGAUUAAAGAGUCUUUGGUCUCUUUCUGAAUUGUGCUACUUAAUUUAUCAUCACCACCAUCAUCAUCAUCUUUGUUGUCAUCAUCUCCAUCACCCGUGCUUCCUACAUGCCAGAAGUGUUGUGUUCCCUGGUUGAUCUCAUUUAAUUCUUCUGACAGCAAUAUGAGGCCUUGGCAGCUAUGCAGAGCAUUGCAGUGAGAAGCUGCUGUCUUGGGGGAGCUUUACUGCUUUUGGAGAUUUAAUACUGAUCUUGAACUUGAGUUGCACCUGGAAGUGCCCCAUUUGAACACAGUUGUUCAGGAGGAGGGCUGCGUGGGCUUAGUCCUCCAAUCUAGGCACUAUUCCAACUCAAAGCUAAGUGCCUGGGUCUCUGGGUGGAGAUGGGGGUUGUGAACUGGUUGCUUACCCAGUUGUCAUCUCGUUACACUCAGGCACCCGUCCAUCCUGAAUCUCAACUCUUUUAACUGAGGUUAGAGUGUGAGGUUCUGUGGGGUUUAACUCCUCCUUCCUUCACCCGUGGCCACUCCAGCACUCUGGGAGGGGAACAAAGUGGGCAGGCCGUCUUGAGUUUCUUCUAGUGCCACAAAAGCCAACUUCGAUGUUCGAGGCAGAGUAACGGCCAUGGACAAGCACUGGGAAAUCCCUUAGACCCUAUAUCGCAGCUUCCCACACAGUGAACCCAGGGAGACCUGGCCUGACCUUCUAGCAAGAAGAAUUUUAGGCAGAGAGAACUGCAUUCCGAAUUGCAGUUUUAAGAGUCUGGCCUUGAUGUCUAGACACUCACUGUUCACGGUGUUAACCCCAAACUGCCCAUUCCUUCCAUCCUGCCUCCCUACUGCUGAUUCCAGCUUAUCUCUCCAACCUCAGCUCUCCCCAAGUCCUAAAAACCUACACUUAUUCAUUUGCUUCUCUCCAUAUAUUUUAAACUCUACUACCAGACUCCCCUUUGGAUAGGAGGCUCCAUCAAAAAUGCUAACAUUCACCAAGCAUUUACUAUUUACUAGGCUAAGUGCUGUAUAUGAAAUAUAUCAUUUAAAUCUCAUAAUGAUCCCAUGAGGUAGCUAAGGUUCCUGGCUCCAUUUCACAAGUAAAGAAACUAGGGCUUAAGAGGUUAAAUGUCUUGUCCAAGAUCAACUAGCUGGUAGUGGUGGAAUUUGGGUUGGUACCCAGUACCUCUGACUCUAGAGUGAUAAUGCCUCUUCCCAUAGGAACCCUCUAGUAAAUAAUAAUCCCCUCCCACUCGGUAUCUCUGGAUUCAAACAGGGAAAGAGAACCACUAUGCACUAUAGACAGUGGGUUUAUUACAAAUCUUAGACCUCACCUAAUUACAGGAGGAACAGAGAACAUGAAGGUAUAGGUGGGGAGUUGAAGGAUCAAUGGCAGAGUCAGUGACACCGCUGAGCACAUCCCACAGCAGGAGUGAAGCCAUAAAGGAAAGCUUGUGGGAGGUCCGAGCCUCUGGUGAGGGGCCUAGACCCCAUGCUGCAGUUGGUCAGCAGGGUCAGGAGGUGGGAGAAGAGCAGACUGUGGAGCUGGUGCCAUCAUGGACCAACUGGAAUCUGUAGCACUUCUUCAUUUGUCACCACGUUUAAUUACAGUGACCUUCAGAGGUCAUAAUGCUGCCUCACUUCAACUUUCUAAAGCUCAUGCACUUUGGUGCAACUCUAACCCAAAACCAAAACGAGAAGGGAGUUCUGGGAAGCACACUUCUGGGUUAACCAAGCUGACCGUGCAAACCACCCCGUGUGGCAAAUCAUGCAAACCUCUUCCCGUGCAUUACCCUCAAAAGCAGCUGGUGCACCCAUCCGUGGGAGGGCCCAGACGUCACCCCGGAGUCUGCAAGUGCUAAAAACGCUCAUCCGAUUCAAUCUUGCAUUGCCUUCAGUUGUAAUUCAGAGACUUAGUAUAUGACUAAUGCUCAUUUACUUUCUUUUUCUUAUGUCAGAAGAUUAGAGUUUAUCAUUUCAGUUUUGACCACUGGUCUAAAAUGUAAAAGAGAACCAACAAGUUAACUUAAAAAAACCCCAAACCUCUUGGAGUUCCUGCUGUGGCUCAGCGGAAAUGAAUCUGACUGGUAUCUAUUAGGACGCAGAUUCAAUUCCUGGCCUUGCUCAGUGGGUUAAGGAUACUGUGUUGCCAUGAGCUGUGGUGUAGGUUACAGAAGCGGCUCGGAUCUGCUGUUUCUGUGGCUGUGGCAUGUAGGCCCACAGCUAUAGCUCUGAUUCAACCCCUAGCCUGGGAACCUCCAUAUGCUGCGGGUGUGGCCCCAAAGUGAAAAAAACAAAACUCUUUAUAGACAGGCGAGGUGAUGAAUUUUUCAAGCAUUAGAGUGUAGAAGACAAUUAGCCCUGGGUCUGGAUUCCAUUUAAAACAAA
rnacentral:lncRNA from 1 species